rnacentral:rRNA from 1 species
ACUCCUACGGGAGGCAGCAGUGGGGAAUAUUGCACAAUGGGGGAAACCCUGAUGCAGCCAUGCCGCGUGUGUGAAGAAGGCCUUCGGGUUGUAAAGCACUUUCAGUAGGGAGGAAGGUAGUGUAGUUAACACCUGCAUUAUUUGUACGUUACCUACAGAAGAAGCACCGGCUAACUCCGUGCCAGCAGCCGCGGUAAGUACGGAGGGUGCGAGCGUUAAUCGGAAUUACUGGGCGUAAAGCGCAUGCAGGCGGCCUGUUAAGUCAGAUGUGAAACGCCCGGGGUCUUAACCUCGGAAUUGCAUUUGAAACUGGCAGGCUAGAGUCUUGGUAGAGGGGUUAGAAUUUCGAGGUGUAGCGGUGAAAUGCGUAGAGAUCG